ACCCUGGUGCUCCUCGGUGGGACCCAGCCACCUGGCCAUUUGCAAGACGAACAUGUAAUGAUGCUCAGGAGGCAGAGCCACGAGAAGCCAGCGAGCAAUGCCCGGUGAAUGCUGUCCCCAUUGGCCAGUGCGGCCAGGGACGCAGGAGCAGCUGUAGGAUCAAGCUGAGGCUCCGCAGACAGCCUGGUCCCUCUCCACCUGCUGCCGCUUGGCCCCACGGGCCACCCCAGGCAGCCGUCCCAGGCCAGAGAGGAUCCCAAACCCGGGCACUCAGACGCUAAGGGAGACCAGGUUCAGAGUUCAGGAAGCCAAGACGGGAGGCCCAGGGGCCACUUCUGCAUCAGCAUGUGAGGCUACUUCUCACCCCGUGAGUGUCAGGCCGAGCCGUGGCCUCCAGAUCCGACCUCUAGCCAGAGGAGUGGAGGCCGUGGUGGCUUUGGUGAUAAGGCGACCUGCUGAGAAGGCUGGAUGGAAGGAAUCACGGACCAGGGCGGGGGUUUCAUCGUGGGCACAGCUGCCCAGUACUGUGGUCCCUGCAUCGAUGUGUCCACAUCCUGGCCGUGGUUUGGCGGCCUCUGGAUUUAGUCUGGGACUGAGUGCAUGAAUCUGAGCACUCCGUGCAAGCGUUCGCGGGGCUGUGUGUCCGCUGCGACCCGACAGACGGGGAGCCGUAAUGAAUGCCGUUCCUGUGGACCCCGCCGCUCUGUCUUCCUCUGGAGUCUCUGUGGUCAUGGACGUUGCUUGCUCAAAACUCUUCCUGAAGAGACGGGUGUGUGUGUUGCUCCUGUCGUUCCAGUGACUCAGGAGGCUGAGGCAGGAGGAUCACAAGUUGGAGGCUGGCCUCAGCCACCUAGUGAGGCCCUGAGCAACUU